rnacentral:tRNA from 1 species
GCUCGUGCUGGCCCGGCAGGCCAACAACCCGGGCUGGUGGCAGCAGUUCAGCGACGUGAUGCCGGGCUGGUUCCAGUCCUACCUCGGGCUC